rnacentral:rRNA from 1 species
CCUACGGGGGGCUGCAGUGGGGAAUAUUGGACAAUGGGCGAAAGCCUGAUCCAGCCAUGCCGCGUGUGUGAAGAAGGCCUUCGGGUUGUAAAGCACUUUCAGUGGGGAAGAAAGCCUUGGGGCUAAUACCCUCGAGGAAGGACAUUACCCACAGAAGAAGCACCGGCUAACUCCGUGCCAGCAGCCGCGGUAAUACGGAGGGUGCGAGCGUUAAUCGGAAUUACUGGGCGUAAAGCGCGCGUAGGCGGUCUGAUAAGCCGGUUGUGAAAGCCCCGGGCUCAACCUGGGAACGGCAUCCGGAACUGUCAGGCUAGAGUGCAGGAGAGGAAGGUAGAAUUCCCGGUGUAGCGGUGAAAUGCGUAGAGAUCGGGAGGAAUACCAGUGGCGAAGGCGGCCUUCUGGACUGACACUGACGCUGAGGUGCGAAAGCGUGGGUAGCAAACAGGAUUAGAUACCCCUGUAGUC